AUUUCAACAUUUGCCGCGCAUAAAUACAAACAUUUGCACCAAAACACACACACUUCGUUGGAGCAGCUUGUAGAAUGAGCGUGAACGAAAAGCAACUGAAACUUUCAAAUUCGAAUUCAAACAAACGAGUUUAAUUUUUAACUAAAGCCUGCUACACUUCUAAGAAAGAUUUUCAUUUUUGACACAUGUUUUAUUUUCGUAGAACAGCAAUUGAGUGAAAAGCUCAGGUUACGUUAGAUAUGUACAUAAGCGACUGUUUCAGCGACACUCAACGAGGGCGCGACACCUCCGCAAUUUCUUAUUUUGUAAUUUUUUAUUUUAUAAAAUAACUUCUUUUCACCAGCAAGCCCCCCGCGUGCUGUUAAUCGGCAGCACAACAAAUAAUCGUAGUCAAAUAGACAAGCGCGCCGCUCUCAUUACCGCUGCUUACAGCUUGCAAUCGGCGGAAAAAGUGAGAAACCCCGCUAAGACGUUGCUAUGCUUGAAAUGCAAAGGCAAAAAUCUAACUAAUUGUUCGUUUUGUGUAAUUUUCUACUGGCGAUCUUGUUGCGCUUUAUAGUUAUUUAUUUAUUGUUGUGUAUUUGUUUGUUUUUGACUUUUGCAUUUGCUUUUCAUUACGGACUCAAAGUUGAGAUAUAACGCGCGUUUUUUUUAUUGACUUUUAUGCGCAAAUGAGUAAAAUGUGUUUGUAUGUGACAUACAUACAUAUGUACAUAAAUAUUCCUUUUGUUUAUUGUGAUAAGUUUUACGGGCUUCGCAAUCCAUUUAUGACAUUCUCUGAGCUUUGGACAAACUCUCCCAUAUAUGCACAUUUGUAUAGUAUGUAUGUAAACUGCUGUCGCUGCACUAAAUUGGCCAUUUGGCAGCAGUAAGUUACAAAGCGAACAAAUAUUAAAUAAAUAAAUAAAAUUUGAGCGAAUGCAGCGCUUAAUAAGCGAGAAUACCGAUACAUUUUACGUAUUUUGGCGCAAAAGUAUAAAAUCGAAAUACAUAUGGCACAUACAUACGAGUAUAUUUCUCCUGUUCCGAUGCGAAGCGCGCAAUCCCUAAAGAGCGGAAUUAGCCUAGUCAUAAAAGGCAAGAGAGUUUUAAGCGUUGCGAUCUUAAGCUGCUCAGCUACAAAAAC
rnacentral:lncRNA from 1 species